ensembl:snRNA U1 U1 spliceosomal RNA
AUACUUACCGGGCAGGGGAGAUACCAAGAUCGCGAAGGUGGUUUUUGCAGGACGAGGCUCAUCCAAUGCUCUCCAGAUGUGCUGAUUCCCCCGAUUUCCCCAAAUGUGGGGAACUUGACUGCUUUAUUUGUGCUAGUGGGGGACUGCACUUGCACUCUCCCC